GGGACAAUGGCCGAGUUUUAGGUAAUAAAUUGUAAAUUUAUUAACGGAUUUAACAUCCUUGUUUCA
rnacentral:tRNA from 1 species